rnacentral:rRNA from 1 species
CCUACGGGUGGCAGCAGUGGGGAAUAUUGCACAAUGGGGGAAACCCUGAUGCAGCAACGCCGCGUGAGUGAAGAAGUAUUUCGGUAUGUAAAGCUCUAUCAGCAGGGAAGAAGAAAGACGGUACCUGACUCAGAAGCCCCGGCUAACUACGUGCCAGCAGCCGCGGUAAUACGUAGGGGGCAAGCGUUAUCCGGAUUUACUGGGUGUAAAGGGAGCGUAGACGGCAGUUCAAGUCUGAAGUGAAAGCCCGGGGCUCAACCGCGGAACUGCUUUGGAAACUGUAUAGCUUGAGUACUGGAGAGGCAUGCGGAAUGCCUAGUGGAGCGGUGAAAUUCGUAGAUAUUAGGAGGAACACCAGUGGCGAAGGCGGCCUGCUGGACCGAAACUGACGUUGAGGCUCGAAAGCGUGGGUAGCAAACAGGAUUAGAUACCCCUGUAGUC